rnacentral:rRNA from 1 species
AUUGAACGCUGGCGGCAUGCCUUACACAUGCAAGUCGAACGGCAGCACGGGUGCUUGCACCUGGUGGCGAGUGGCGAACGGGUGAGUAAUACAUCGGAACAUGUCCUGUAGUGGGGGAUAGCCCGGCGAAAGCCGGAUUAAUACCGCAUACGAUCUACGGAUGAAAGCGGGGGACCUUCGGGCCUCGCGCUAUAGGGUUGGCCGAUGGCUGAUUAGCGAGUUGGUGGGGUAAAGGCCUACCAAGGCGACGAUCAGUAGCUGGUCUGAGAGGACGACCAGCCACACUGGGACUGAGACACGGCACAGACUCCUACGGGAGGCAGCAGUGGGGAAUUUUGGACAAUGGGCGAAAGCCUGAUCCAGCAAUGCCGCGUGUGUGAAGAAGGCCUUCGGGUUGUAAAGAACUUUUGUCCGGAAAGAAAUCCUUGGCCCUAAUACGGUCGGGGGAUGACGGUACCGGAAGAAUAAGCACCGGCUAACUACGUG